UACGUAGGUCCCGAGCGCUGUCCGGAUUUAUUGGGCGUAAAGCGAGCGCAGGUGGUUUAUUAAGUCAGGUGUAAAAGGCAGUGGCUCAACCAUUGUAUGCAUUGGAAACUGGUAGACUUGAGUGCAGGAGAGGAGAGUGGAAUUCCAUGUGUAGCGGUGAAAUGCGUAGAUAUAUGGAGGAACACCGGUGGCGAAAGCGGCUCUCUGGCCUGUAACUGACACUGAGGCUCGAAAGCGUGGGGAGCAAACAGG
rnacentral:rRNA from 1 species